rnacentral:rRNA from 1 species
GUUAUUGCCUCAGUAGCGGCGAGUGAGCGGCAAAAGCUCAAAUUUGAAAUCUGGCGUCUUUGGCGUCCGAGUUGUAAUUUGAAGAAGGUAUCUUUGGGCCCGGCUCUUGUCUAUGUUCCUUGGAACAGGACGUCACAGAGGGUGAGAAUCCCGUGCGAUGAGAUGACCCGGGUCUGUGUAAAGUUCCUUCGACGAGUCGAGUUGUUUGGGAAUGCAGCUCUAAGUGGGUGGUAAAUUCCAUCUAAAGCUAAAUAUUGGCGAGAGACCGAUAGCGAACAAGUACAGUGAUGGAAAGAUGAAAAGAACUUUGAAAAGAGAGUGAAAAAGUACGUGAAAUUGUUGAAAGGGAAGGGCUUGAGAUCAGACUUGGUAUUUUGCAUGCUGCUCUCUCGGGGGCGGCCGCUGCGGUUUACCGGGCCAGCAUCGGUUUGGAGCGGCAGGAUAAUGGCGGAGGAAUGUGGCACGGCUUCUGCUGUGUGUUAUAGCCUCUGACGAUACUGCCAGCCUAGACCGAGGACUGCGGUUUUUACCUAGGAUGUUGGCAUAAUGAUCUUAAGUCGCCCGUCUUGAAACACGGACC